GAGCCUACGGGGGGCAGCAGUGGGGAAUAUUGCACAAUGGGCGAAAGCCUGAUGCAGCAACGCCGCGUGAAGGAAGAAGGCCUUCGGGUCGUAAACUUCUGUCCUUGGGGAAGAAGAACUGACGGUACCUGACUAAGAAGCCCCGGCUAACUACGUGCCAGCAGCCGCGGUAAUACGUAGGGGGCGAGCGUUAUCCGGAUUCACUGGGUGUAAAGGGAGCGUAGACGGCCAUGCAAGCCAGGGGUGAAAGCCCGGGGCCCAACCCCGGGACUGCCCUUGGAACUGCAUGGCUGGAGUGCGGGAGG
rnacentral:rRNA from 1 species